AGGCAGAUGGAUUGCCUGAGGUCAGGAGUUCGAGACCAGUCUGGCCAACAUGGUGAAACCCCAUCUCUACUAAAAACACAAAAAAAUUAGCCAGACGUGGUGGCAUGCGCCUGUAAUCCCAGCUACUCGGGAGGCUGAGGCAGGGGAAUUGCUUGAACCAGGGAGGCGGAGCUUGCUGUGAGCCGAGAUCAUGCCACUGCACUCCAGCCUGGGUGACAGAGCGAGACUCUGCCUCAAAAAAAAAAAAGAAAAAAGAAAAAAAAAAAAGGAUAUAAAUACACAGUUAAAUAGGAUAAAUAAGACCUAGGGUUCAAUAGGUCAGAAGAGUGGCUUUAGUUAACAAUAACCUAUUGAACACUUCAAAAUAGCUAGAAGAGAAUAAUUUAAACAUUCCUAGCAUAAAGAGAAGAUAAAUAUUUAAGGUGGUGGAUAUCCUAAUUACCCUGAUUUGAUCUUUACACAUUAUAUGAAGGUAUCAGAAUAGCACAUGUUGGCUGGGCACAGUGGCUCAUGCCUGUAAUCCCAGCAUUUUGGGAGGCUGAGGUAGGAGGAUCACUUGAGGCCAGGAGUUUGAGAUCAGCUUAAGCAAAAUAGUGAGAUCCUGUCUCUACAGAAAAAUUUAAAAAUUAGCCAGGCAUGGUGGUAUGUGCCUACAGUCCCAGUUACCUGGGAGGCUGACGCAGAAGGAUUAGUUGAGCCCAGGAGUUCAAGGCUGCAAUGCAGUGAGCUAUGAUCACGCCACUGCAUUCCAGCCUGGGCAACAGAGUGAGACCCUGUCUCAAAAAAAUAUGUAUGUAAUAUAAAAUUACAUAUACCCUCAAAUAUGUAAAUCUAUUAUGUAUCAAUUUUUAAAAACGAAUAAAAAGAGUAAGUAGUUCAAAUAAAAGCUCAAGACAGGCAAUUGUAUUAGUCAGAAAGUAAAGCUUUCUGGAGAGUUUCCUAACUUCUGAAUAAACUUCAGCAGGUUUUGCAGAAUUAGGCUAGUGGAAACAUAAGGCUCUUGCAAAAAAAUUUCAGAAAGUACUCUUGCCUUUUUAAGUGCAAAAUAAGCAGAUUGCAAAGGCGCUUUUCCUCUCCACCCUGAAAGGUGGUGUUUGUACUUGAGAAGGGAGGAAGGAGGGGGCCUGAGUACUGAGGCUUCCCAUCCACUUAUACAAUUUCCCAGCGAGGACUUGGGGAUCUGCAAGGCCUGUGCCAAGUCAGGCUUUAUGCCGGCAUUGAGAAGUGAUACACAAGUGGGUGGAAACAAUGAAGAAAUGUUUUGUGGGAUUUGAGAGACCUCAUAUCCCCCAAUACGCUGUUAGUAUCACUUGUUGAAAUUAGAGACUGGGCACAGUGGCUCACGCCUGUAAUCCCAGCACUUUGGGAGGCUGAGGUGGGAGGAUCCCUUGAGCCCAGGAGUUUGAGACCAGCCUGGGCAACAUGGUGAGCCCUCGUCUCUACAAAAAAAUUUAUUUUUUAAUUUUUUUGGAGACAGGGUCUCAUUCUGCC
rnacentral:lncRNA from 10 species